rnacentral:tRNA from 1 species
GGUGUGGCUUCGUGGUAGAGUAUCUGUUUGGCAUGCAGAGAUCCUCAGGUUCAAUCCCUGGGGUCUCCA